AGUAAUGUAUAGUUAAUCUACCCUUUAGAGGGGGAUAACAGUUGGAAACGACUGCUAAUACCCCAUACUCCUUCUAUCUUAAUGAUAGUUGGGAAAUGUUUUUUCGCUAAAGGAUGAGACUAUAUGGUAUCAGCUUGUUGGUGAGGUAAGAGCUCACCAAGGCAAUGACACCUAGCUGGUCUGAGAGGAUGAUCAGCCACACUGGAACUGAGACACGGUCCAG
rnacentral:rRNA from 1 species